UUGGAGCUUCAGUGUCCUCUCCUGAGCUAUCGUAACCAUCUUGUUGGUCUUCUUCUGCAGAUGAGCAACCAGCAGAACCUUCGUCCCAGCUAUCUUCAUCAUCAAAAUAUCGUUGAUCCCAGAGUUUCGAUUUAAUUACAAUAUCGUUGAUCCCAAAGUUCCUACAGUUUCAAACUAGUGAAAAUUUCUCGUGCAAAAUUCUUGUUCUCUUAUUCUUGCGUAUAGACUUCAUUUGGAUAUUUAAGAGAAUCGGUUCAGAUUUGAGCGGUAUUGUAAUGAAUUCAAGGGGUAAAACUAUACUAGAGGUUUGAGUUGAUUUUGGAGCUUUCAAGGUAAGUGUUUGUUCUAACUUUUGCUUGAGGGAAUAAGAUUAGGAUAUGAAUUGCUAAUUGCUAAAUGUGGAGUACGGUAUAUAAGCAUGAUGACGAAUAUCUAUGGACCAGAGUCUAG
rnacentral:lncRNA from 1 species